AUUGGAUUAAAGACAAUGCUUCUGAAAUCCCUUCCUUUUUGUUUUCACAAGCCAAAGGUGAGGAAGAUUCCAUUUGUUUUGUACAUAUGACUCUUACCUUGAUUAGCGUGUCUUGUGGUUUGUUUAUACUUUUUGAACAUCUAUUAUCAGUUCUACCAUUAAAAGCAAGUAAGAAAUUGCUGUGUAUGCUUAAAAGAUCCUGGCAAAGCAUCUAGCUUUGUUGUUGUGCAUGGAUGAAAAGAGUGCCAGCAGAGAGUUAAGAGCAUUCUGAAACAAAAGUAGAUACCUCUAAUUGUUCAUCUACCCAGGAUGUCUUUGUGCACAGGGAAUAUCAUUGUCUUUCACUCUUGGUGCACGACUUUAUCCCACUAUUGUUUACACUAGUUUGAUUUCACUAAUUUCAGAGGAGUUACUACGCUCUUAUGCAGAAUAAUUUGUGAUGUAGUUCUACAGACAGUAUUUAGAUAUGGUUUCAGUUAUUUCAGAAAUAGGAAAACAGAAGGAUUUCUUAAAUUCUGUUUGACGUGAGGUAUUAGCAGAGAGCAAGAUAAGUUCUGUCAUUGACUAGAUUGUCUGUACAAAAGCUUUUUUGUAGCUGCAGUAGUACCCAGCUGUGACACACCUUCUAUGUAUCUUAUUCUGUAGUCCAUUCAUUUAAGUCAAAUAGUGUUCAGAUUUCUUUAAAAUUCCCAUGGCUAAUUUAAUUUUAUAAACCAGUUAUACUCAAACAUUUUUAUUAAGGAAUGUGCAGAGCAAGCUGUUUUUCCUGGAAUUGAAAACUAACAAGAAAUUUAUUCUGCAAUUGUAGGAAAAACAGUCCAACAAAUAAAGGACAGCAUAUUCCACGUCAUUGUGUCUUGCCUCUUAUCCGUAGAAGCGGCAUCUUAUAUACAGGUCAUCAAAAGCAGAAAAUGGAGAAGAAAAGGAUCUACUAAAGUAAAUCAAUCUUCCAGAAGAGCACGUCACAUUAGCUGUGCAAGAAAAAUGGAUAUGCUGGAGUCCAAGAGUAGUCGGAAUUACCAGGCAGUUGCAUGUGAACUCUGCAGCAUAACUAAGAAGCUGCUUUUCAUUAGACUUAGUUUCAGAGCAGAAUAAAAUAAUGCAGUUUAUACUGCUCCUACCUUUGCUAUUUGAGUUGUUCAGAUCAGAAAAUUUUAUUUAGUAAAAGGUGUG
rnacentral:lncRNA from 1 species